rnacentral:lncRNA from 1 species
UAAUGGCUUAAUAUGUAAUUAUUUCUUUUAUGUGCAGUGAAGCAACUUUCAUGGAAAUUUUAUCUGUCAUAAAAGGCUAUAUGGUCCAGUGACUGGAGUGCUUACCAGAGAAAUAUGGAUUAAAAUCGCUGCUUCAGAUGAGGAAAAGUGUGAGAUUUGAACCUGGGCCAACCAUUUCUUUCAUAUUGUCAUCAUUGCUACUGGGUGUGAUGCACUGGAAAACAAAGGCGAAUUCUGUGAGGAGGAGGUAAUUUGGAGAUGAUUUGUCACUGCCAUACUUCAUAUGUGUUGUCACCCUGUCCCUUUACCUUGGAUGUCCUUUUUUACUCACUCAGUAAUCUAAAGAAAUACACUGAGGACAAAAAACAAACUGUUCUGAAGAAAAAUCAUGUUUUUCACUUUAUGCCUCCAUUUAGAGUUACCUAAGAAAUUUAUUCAGAAUCGGCGACUUCAGACAUUGCGGUUAUGACUAAGUGAUAUUUCCAGAUAUGAAAACAUUGUCAGAAAGUACUCGACCAGCUUUUUCCCACUUCUUUGAGCAACCCAGCUGUGACUGCCAGAGCUGACAUGGGCAAGCCUUACAGGCAGGUGCUGCCCUGUACCGGGCUCUUAUCGCUCGUGGCUUUCCAGGCUCCCAGCUGGUUUACAGCAGCGCGAGGAGGGCACAGAAAGUCAAGGCCGUCAGUGUCAUUAAAAGCAACAUGAAAGUCAUGGUAUCACUGAUCCACCUAUCUUAACUGCUACCUGGUGAUUUAGAGCUUGCUUUCUUAUCAGAGGCCAGGAGACACCGGGGUUGUUCUCCGGCAAGCAGGGAGAAGAGAGAAAUUCAGCACAGCUCCCCUAUUUCCAUAACAUGAGGAAACUUGCUUAUUUGAACUUUGGAGAUAAAUUUAUCUUGAAAAGAAAAGAUAAAAAAAAAAAAAAGGCAGAAUCGAUCUUGAUGUCUAAAUUUUUUUAUUAUUAAUUUUAUUUAUUCUUUUUCUUCCUCUAUUGACCAAAUAAAUAGAUGGAUGAAAGUUCA